rnacentral:rRNA from 1 species
CCUACGGGUGGCUGCAGUGGGGAAUAUUGCACAAUGGGGGAAACCCUGAUGCAGCAACGCCGCGUGAGUGAAGAAGUAUUUCGGUAUGUAAAGCUCUAUCAGCAGGGAAGAAGAAAGACGGUACCUGACUAAGAAGACCCGGCUGACUACGUGACAGCAGCCGCGGGAAAACGGAGGGGUCAAGCGUUAUCCGGAUUUACUGGGUGUAAAGGGAGCGUAGACGGCUGUGCAAGUCUUCAGUGAAAGCCCGUGGCUAAACCGCGGAACUGCUUUGGAAACUGUAUAGCUUGAGUACUGGAGAGGCAGGCGGAAUUCCUAGUGUAGCGGUGAAAUGCGUAGAUAUUAGGAGGAACACCAGUGGCGAAGGCGGCCUGCUGGACAGAAACUGACGUUGAGGCUCGAAAGCGUGGGGAGCAAACAGGAUUAGAUACCCGAGUAGUC